rnacentral:rRNA from 1 species
GACGAACGCUGGCGGCGUGCUUAACACAUGCAAGUCGAACGGGCCUUGUCCCCUUUUUUUUUGGGGGUGGGGUUAGUGGCGAACGGGUGAGUAACACGUGAGUAACCUGCCCCUCACUUCUGGAUAACCGCUUGAAAGGGUGGCUAAUACGGGGUGUUCUGGCCUGCUCGCAUGGGUGGGUUUGGAAAGAUUCGACCGGUUUGGUUGUUUUGGUGGGGGAUGGGCUCGCGGCCUAUCAGCUUGUUGGUGGGGUGAGGGCCUGCCAAGGCUUUGACGGGUAGCCGGCCUGAGAGGGUGGGCGGUCACACUGGGACUGAGACACGGCCCAGACUCCUACGGGAGGCAGCAGUGGGGAAUAUUGCACAAUGGGCGCAAGCCUGAUGCAGCGACGCCGCGUGAGGGAUGGAGGCCUUCGGGUUGUGAACCUCUUUCGCCAGUGAAGAAGGUCCUGCUCUUUGUGGUGGGGUUGACGGUAGCUGGGUUAAUGAAGCGCCGGCUAACUACGUG